CAUGGCCCAAGAAGGAGGAAAACCAGAAGUCAUUUUUGUCACGACCGUUUACUGACCGUGGUUGGCAGAAGAUCCGUGUCUCAAAGUACAACCAGGGCUUUACAACAUAGACAUGUUAGCAAGAGUUCUUGAUUUUUACAUGAGGAAAGGAAGUGAAAAACAAUAUUUGACCUCUCAGAGGCCCAGUUUACCUACCUAUUGCGAUAAAAGAGAAACAUCUGGGUGUGGCACGGAAGUCCCCAUUUGAAAAUAAACACAGCUUUCGCCGGGGCACCAGACAGCGGUGGACUGUUAGCCCUUAAUACAUUCAUCUUUGCUGUGUUCUUGUUCUAGAAAGACUACUGGGCCUGAUUGCCUUCCCUAAAUCUCUGUUCUUGUCUCUAAAUGAGCUAUUUCUCAGAGCUUGGAAACAGGCUUCGCGUCUGAGAGGCUUGUGUCCCGGAGGGUCUAGGACAAGGACUCUGUCCAGCCAGAGGGGACCCCGGCCCUGGAUCUUGUUCCCAGGCAGGAUUUCCAUCUGAACACAAAAUGACUUCCUCUCUCUAACCAGCCCCCCCCCCCCUGCAUCCCCCCUACGGUUAUUUGUCUGGGGAAUCCAGGCAUCAAAGACUUUGGUAAUAAUUACAUUUCCUUCAAUGGAGACAGGAUCUCACCCUUCCGGACUGAAACCCUCCGAUGGGCGAGCUGGUCUGAGGUCCCUGAUGGCCCUGCCCUCCCCUCCUCACUCCUGCCAGCUGCCACCCACCUCCUUGGGGGCACCUGCCCGCCUGUGUGUCUCCCUCGUUAUCUGUCACAUUGAGUCGAGUGACCCCAUCACACAGCGAGUUCUGAGCCUUCAGAGAACACACUUGUAGCCUCAGAAAAUGCUUUGGCUUACCCAUAAACAAGACACCUCUCUAGAAGGACACAGAAUGUGGACCCUGAGACAGCACUGAAGUGCAAAGCUCUGGAGAUUAAGGCCCCUGGACAUCUUGUGAAAGUCUAAGAACAAACAGCCACCAUGAGGCCAGGAGACACCUAACCGUAUUCAGAAGGGCCAACUGGCC